rnacentral:lncRNA from 1 species
GAUUUCAAGUUUGAUUCGAUGCAUCUGAUAGUCAGUAUUUGGAUUUUUAUGACAAUGGUUAAAAUAUCAGUUUUUUGUUUGGAAUAUCCAGAGAUUUAAACUGAGAGAUAAACAUUAAGCUGAUAACUUUGGAGAUUAUGGAGUUUCCUUCAAAUUAUGUCCAUUACUCAACCUGCCAGGAAUGAAUUCAAGGUUAGAUAACAGAAAAACGAUUUACUCAUGCUUCAGUUACCAAGAUGCUUAUUUUGUAGUAAUAGUGGUAUGUAUUUUAUCUUCUAACAGACAGCAUAACAAAGAAGGAGCCACCUCUUCUUAAUUCUUCUAGUUUUAGCUGAUGCAUAUAAGCUGUUCAAAAUAUGAUGCCGCGUUUACUUACUGCAAUUUGUUGCAAUUUACUGUCCAGAUAACUUGGCAGUUAAUUUUGUGGAAUUCUUCGUUGCUUGUCUAUUAGCUUGAUUUGGUCGUUGAUCAAUUGUUAUUGCAGGACUUGUUUAAUCUUGUCUCCGUUUAAACUUCAAUCAAUUUAUGGAAUCGCAGAGGAAAAUCAUGAAUGGUCAGAAAAUGCAAUCAAUUGGCGCCAGAGAUGAAUUUAAGGCUAAUAAAAUGAACAGGCGUGUUAUGAUGUAUUAAGACUGUGCUAGUCGCUGGAGGUUGAACAAUGGAGAAGCCUUCAGUUCUUGAUUAAUAAAGGUCAAUUGGCAGCUUGGCUCCCUUCACGUUGCUUUGUUCUUUUAUCGAAUGCAAACUUCUAAUAGAAUUCAAAGGUGUAUAAUACACACGGUUUGUUUCCUAUCUAUCAAAAAUAUAAAUGUUUUCCUCCCAAUAAAUUUAACGAAUAAAAGCAUCAGCAUCGUUCAGGCUUUUGUUAAUUAUUAUCAGAUAUCAACUUAGCAAAUUUUGUUCUUUGUCAGGAUUUUGGUUACAAAAUGUAUGCUGUUAGUCUGUUACAACUCUUAGCUCAGUUGGUAAAAGGAAAAUUAUGCUGCAAUUCUCUGUUGAAUAGAAAGUCACUCGAAUGUGGUCUGAUGGCAAAGCGUAAGUGAACAAAGACUAGUCAUUUUUUUAUCGUCCAGUGCUCUUGACUGUCAGUUCAAGGUUUUGUUACUGUUGGAUGUAAACGUUGUACUAAUGCUUUAAAUUUUUAUACAUAAAUAUGUGUGAUCAUCAGAAUGAUGUAUCUCUUUGCUAUUGAUGACGUUUAAUUUUCUUUUCAGGAUAUAAAUUAUGUCAUGCUCAUUAUCAAACACAUAGCUUUAAAUUAAGGCUCCAUAGAGAAUCUAUAGAAAAGAUAAUGAC